AAACCCAGUCGUUUUCUUUGCUGUUUGAAACCAUUUUAAAAAAACAUUAAUUAACUGUCAAAAUAAGCGAACUUUAUAGCAACAGAAUACAAAAGGUGACAGCAAUAACGCUAAUAAUUCUUCUGAUGGCAACUGAUGGAAUGCUAGCUUUUAAGCUAGCAGUGAAGAAGCUUUACUGAAUGGAGUCAACUUUUAAGCAUGAUUAGCAACAAUUGUCAAAAACAAUUAAUCUACUGUCUAUUAAAAUUUAAAAACAAAUAUAACCUUA